CUAUGGUUGUCAAAAAGGUUGCAUCAAGAGAGCAAUAAAAGAAAAUAUAUGCGCCAAUGAACCUCAACAAAGAAAAAAAACGGUGUACAAAAGAAAUACCCCCGAGUUUUAAAUUUGAACAAACGACACAAGGGUAACAACACGAAAUCUGAGCCUAAACCCCUAGUAUUCCCUUUUGUUUCUAUUACCCACCUUACACCUUAGCC
rnacentral:lncRNA from 1 species